CUACGGGACGCAGCAGUGGGGAAUAUUGGACAAUGGACCAAAAGUCUGAUCCAGCAAUUCUGUGUGUUUGAUGAAGGCCUUCGGGUUGUAAAGAACUUUAAGUAGGGAAGAAGAAAGUGACGGUACCUACAGAAUAAGCGACGGCUAAAUACGUGCCAGCAGCCGCUGUAAUACGUAUGUCGCAAGCGUUAUCCGGAGUUAUUGGGCAUAAAGCGCGUCUAGGCGGUUUACUAAGUCUGAUGUGAAAAUGCGGGGCUCAACUCCGUAUUGCGUUGGAAACUGGUAGACUAGAGUAUUGGAGAGGUAGGCGGAACUACAAGUGUAGAGGUGAAAUUCGUAGAUAUUUGUAGGAAUGCCAAUGACGAAGGUAGCUUACUGGACAAAUACUGACGCUGAAGCGCGAAAGCUAGGGGAGCAAACAGGAUUAGAUACCCGCGUAGUC
rnacentral:rRNA from 1 species